rnacentral:rRNA from 1 species
AUACGGAGGGUGCAAGCGUUAAUCGGAAUUACUGGGCGUAAAGCGCGCGUAGGCGGCUGAUUAAGUCGGAUGUGAAAUCCCUGGGCUCAACCUAGGAACUGCAUCCGAUACUGGUCAGCUAGAGUUUUGGAGAGGUAAGUGGAAUUUCCGGUAUAGCGGUGAAAUGCAUAGAGAUCGGAAGGAACACCAGUGGCGAAGGCGACUUACUGGCCAAAAACUGACGCUGAGGUGCGAAAGCGUGGGUAGCGAACAGGAUUAGAUACCCCAGUAGUCC